UAAGCCGGUCAUAGCAAUGGGGUGCGACCCAGUCCCAUUCCGAACCUGGAAGUCAAACCCAUUGUCGCUAUUGUGUUACUUAGGUGCGCGAGCUCUUGGAAAGCAAUAGUGCUGGCAUUU
rnacentral:rRNA from 1 species